GGACCAUUUACAUUGAGAUUGAUGGGUGCUUUCAAACUCUUCCUUAAGUUUUAACUUUUGAAAUAACAUGAGGAGGAAAUUCUACUUCGAAACAAAUUUCUGGGACUAAGCACUAUGGCAGAUUCGGGUUUCUGAUCAUAGAAUCAGGUUUAUGAUCAUAUAACUUGCGCUGUUAGAAAUUUUACAUGGCAAGGAAAGUCUUGUCAGAUUUACUAAUUCUUCUCCUAAUGGGCUUGCUCUUCAUCGGCAACUUGUUGCUGUACUUUUGUUUCUGAUGGUGGAAAGGGGCACCAUUUGGAUAUUUUGAUGGCUGGUCAUCCAUCAUCAGUUGUUUUGGCAUUGAAUUUGCACUAUUUCCU
rnacentral:lncRNA from 1 species